rnacentral:tRNA from 1 species
GUGGCUGUGGCUCAGUAGUAGAGCACUUGCCUAGCAUGUGUGAGGCUCUGGGUUCAAUUCUCAGCACCACA